GUGGCGAAGGCGGCUUACUGGACUGUAACUGACGUUGAGAAAAGGGAGUGUGGGUAGCAAACAGGAUUAGAUACCCUGGAGGGGCGCCCUAAACGAUGAACACUAGGUGUUAGAAGGUUUCCGCCUCUUAGUGCCGAAGCUAACGCAUUAAGAAAGUCCGCCUGAGGGAGUACGACCGCAAGGUUGAAACUCAAAGGAAUUGACGGGGACCCGCACAAGCGGUGGAGCAUGUGGUUUAAUUCGAAGCUACGCGAAGAACCUUACCAGGUCUUGACAUCCUUUGAAAAUUUUAGAGAUAGAAUGUUCUCUUUCGGAGACAAAGUGACAGGUGGUGCAUGGUCGCCGUCACCUCGUGUGGGAGAAUUUUGGGUUAAGUCCUUCUUUCUGGCUCAACCCUUAUUGUUAGUUGCCAGCUUUUGGAUGGGCACUCUAGCGAGCCUGCCGGUGACAAACCGGAGAAGGCGGGGACGACUCAAAUCAAUCAUGCCCUUUAUGAUCUGGGUAUAAA
rnacentral:rRNA from 1 species